ACUACCAAAUAAUGUUUUGUGGAAAAUAGAUUUGUGUGAUGCUCACGCCAUCUAAAAUAUGUAUCACCACCUAUUUUCCUGAAGACAUGAAUGUAGUCAGUCAGAGCAACCAGCCCACCUCUUUACAUAGGGAGCAGCCUUCCUGCUGCACACUCUAAUUACGAACAUUCAGCCAGACACACCAUGAUGAGCUUCACUUUAGUCGCCUCCAUUCUAUACAGCCUCAGCUGGAUCUCUGUCUCGCUUUCUGAGUAUCAGACUGUGGAGGCUCAGCCUGGUGAAGAAGUCACACUGAGGAUUACCAAAGGGAACAUGUAUGGAACUGUGAUAUUCUGGUUCAGGCUGGUCAAUAGAACCAACACCAGCUGUAUCUCUAUCAUGUUCAGUUCGCAACCUAACAUCUGUGAUGGAUAUGACAGCAGAAAAUUUGAAAUGAGCUCCAACAUCUCCACUGUCUCUCUCAAAAUCAAACAUGUGGAUUCAUCUGACUCUGGACUGUAUUUAUGUGGAUUUUACAAUACUGGAAAACCACUUUUCAGUGUGAUACGAUUAAAUGUAAAAGGUAAAGUAAUUCUAAUGUCUUUUCAUUGUUCUUUUAUGUUUAUACUGUAUUUUCAUGAUUAUUUUCCAACAACGCAUGAACAAAGCGGCCGUUUAAACAGCGAAUCUGUGAAAACAAAAGAUUUAAUUAUCUUCACUCCGAAGGUAGUGACGAGCCACAUGAUGACGUCAACAACAAGUGUACAAGUGAGAUUUUCAGAUUUAUUUUCAGUUCAGUUCAUUUUCAUUGAAUUUUGCAAGGUGUCAAGUCUCCAAAUAAAAAACAAAGUUUGACUUCAUGAUCUUUCUUGUAGUUGAGUCUAACGGAGUUGCAAAGAUGACGAGUGUGAUCCUGGGUGGUCUGACUGUUUGCCUUCUAAUGGUCAUUAUCGUUCUCAUUGUUCAAAACAGGAAACUGCAGACAGCUGAUAAAGAAGAUCACAAUCCACAGCAAAGUGAGAACGUGAGCUGUGAUGAGCUGAACUACGCAGCAGUGACAUUUCGACCAAAAGCAAAAAGGAGAGCGCCUGAGCCAAAUGUUGUUUAUGCUGCCACCAGAUAGACUCAGGAGGCAACUGGAAAUGAUGCUGUGUCAUGUUAAUAUGCUUUGAUUGUGACAGCAAGAACCACUGAUACCAACACAUUUCAUUUUGCAAUAAAGAUCUGAUGUUCAUACAUGUCAAGUCACGUCAAGAGGUUUUAUUGUCAUUUCAGCUGUUUGCUGUAACAGUGAAGAGUGAAACGAGA